AGAAAUGAACCAACGUGCUGGCUUUCAGCAGCUCACACAAUUGCUGUGAACUCCUUGACAAUAUGACUUUGGAAGACUUUCAAGUGGAGUUUUGAGAGCCGUCUGGGAGGAAAGAAGAGAUUCUACAAGGACCAUGGACUUGAGACAAACCACAUUAGAGGUGAAGGAACAUGAACACAAGGUUUUGAAGCAGGAUCUCCUACUGAACCUGGAGCUGACCACAUCAACUGGACUGGCCAGUGCGUUCUCCUCAUUCGCUUGUCUGUACUUCAGCAGCAUUGGGCUCACAGGUGCGUGUGGACACACCCAACUUUGACACAAGUGCCAAGGAUCUAAACUCAGCUCUUGCUACUUGAGCGGCAAGCACUUUCUCCACGGAGCCAGGCCCUCCUGCCUCGAUUCCUUGUCCUCCAUCAUGAGUCCUUACGGCAUAUUUCCUAUCUUUGCUUAGUCAUGGAAAAUUCAUUGAGGCAGUUAGUCCACCAGAGAAGCCUGCUGGGACAUGAGUCUAAGCCCACCGAAAGUCUUUAUUAGCUGGCUGGAGACUACACUGGGUGUUCAGGAUCCCAGAGCAGCACCGAGCCUUUCCCAGGGUGAGCGUUGAAGCACAGGAACCAUGUUCUGGGUUGACAUACGUCAGUUAACAAGAACAAUUAAGCCUGUUCAGGAGCUGAACUACAGAAGCCACACAGCAAAGUGAGAACAUGUGGAGGCCUCCCCAGAACUGUGGGCCUGGGCAGAUUAGGUCUUUGUUUUGGCUGGUGGUGCUUAUGCUCAGUUUUAUGGCCUGAACGGUACUUCCAUCAUGGAGUCAGCUGUGCAGCCUAUUAAGGUCUAGAACCCUGCCACACUUUAGUCAUUAGGAGUUUCAUAAUUUUGAACUGAAGUGUGCCGUCCAGUGUUCGCUACAGAAUACUAUCAGAUAUUGCAGUAAACUCUGUUGAUGCCUUAACCCAGUGCCAGGCACAUAGUAUGUACUUGAUGAACAUGGGUUUCUCCCUAGAUUCACUUUUUGCUUCUUUUCCUGCAUAAGAUUUUUUUUAAAGCAAAUAUUGCAGUGACUUCUAUGUGCAAGACAUCACAUCGCAAACUAGAAAUAAAAACAUGAAUAAAUACAGACUGAAGGCUAAAACCUUAGAUACUUAUAGCUUAAGCUGACUAGAGUGCCUUCUGUCACGGCACUGGGCCAGAAUGUACACCAGACUCCCAAGGUUAGAUGGGCCCGUCUACUUGUUAAAAAAAGAUAAAACCAAACCGUAGUCUGUAACUUUGUGGGGCAUCAGGAUAGCAAGCAUGGUUUGGAUGUUGUCUGGGAUCUAAAGGUGCCACAUUCUAAGGAGCCGAGUGCCCGCCUGGGGCUCAGUUGAGGAUCUGUGGGGAAUUUGCCUUUGUAUUAGGGGUAAAGACCUAAACAGUCUUUAGAAUGGCUGAAAUAUGGCUUUGAGAGCCCAGGAAUAUGGCUCAGGUGGUAAAGUGCUUGCCUAGCAUGUGCUAAGCCCUGGUUUGAUUCCCAGCACCAGGUAAAUGGGGUGUGAUAGUAAGCCCUGUAAUCCCAGCACUUGGAGGGUGUUGCUGGAGGACCAAGAGUCUGAGGCCAUUCUACCUACAUGGGGAGUUCAGGGCCAGUUUUGGCUACUUGAGACAAAGUGAAAACAACAGGAUGGAGAGAAACCGGAGCUCACACACAUACCUGCUCAUUGACAUCUUGUUUGGUCAUAGAAUAAGUAAUAUCAGCUUUUGAGGUGCUGUCAGGAGCUGACGUUACGAUUUCCGCAUCUUUACUGAUGCUUGCUGCUCCCUUUUCUUCUUAAAAUAGUCGUUCUUACAGAUGUGAACCAAUGUCUUAGUAAAGGUUUUAAUAAGCAUUCUUUUUUUUAACGACCGAUGAUGUUAGGCAACUUUUA